GGCUGCGACACGGGGUGCCCGGGAGCGGCCCGGGCUGAGAACACACCCGUCGAACUUGAUCCGGUUAGCACCGGCGAAAGGAUGGUCAUCCAUGACUGCA
rnacentral:ncRNA from 2 species